rnacentral:lncRNA from 1 species
AGAGCAGCGCGCGGGACCCGCUGAGCCCAGGGCCCGGGCCGAGCUCCGCCCCUUUCUCCAGGCUCCCCGCCACCGGAGGGAGAGAGGGAGGACCCGUCACAGGCACCUUGCUGUGACAAGCUUUAUACUUGCCGCUUGUGUCAUGAUAACAAUGAAGAUCAUCAACUAGAUCGCUUUAAAGUGAAGGAAGUGCAGUGCAUAAACUGUGAAAAAAUUCAACAUGCCCAACAGACUUGUGAAGAAUGUAGCACAUUGUUUGGAGAAUAUUAUUGCGAUAUAUGCCAUUUGUUUGACAAAGAUAAGAAGCAGUAUCACUGUGAAAACUGUGGAAUUUGAUUGGUCCAAAGGAAGAUUUUUUCCAUUGUUUGAAAUGUAACUUAUGCCUAGCUAUGAAUCUUCAAGGAAGACACAAGUGUAUUGAAAAUGUGUCCCGACA